rnacentral:rRNA from 1 species
UACGGAGGAUGCAAGCGUUAUCCGGAAUGAUUGGGCGUAAAGAGUCCGCAGGUGGCCCUGUAAGUCUGCUGUUAAAGAGUGAGGCUUAACCUCAUAAAAGCAGUGGAAACUACAGAGCUAGAGUGCGUUCGGGGCAGAAGGAAUUCCUGGUGUAGCGGUGAAAUGCGUAGAGAUCAGGAAGAACACCGGUGGCGAAGGCGUUCUGCUAGGCCGCAACUGACACUGAGGGACGAAAGCUAGGGGAGCGAAUGGG